rnacentral:rRNA from 1 species
UACGUAGGGUGCAAGCGUUGUCCGGAAUUAUUGGGCGUAAAGAGCUCGUAGGCGGUUUGUCGCGUCUGCUGUGAAAACUCGGGGCUUAACUCCGGGCCUGCAGUGGGUACGGGCAGACUAGAGUCCGGAAGAGGAGAGUGGAAUUCCUGGUGUAGCGGUGAAAUGCGCAGAUAUCAGGAAGAACACCCGUGGCGAAGGCGGCUCUCUGGGACGGUACUGACGCUGAGACGCGAAAGCGUGGGGAGCGAACAGG